rnacentral:rRNA from 1 species
UACGAAGGGGGCUAGCGUUGUUCGGAAUCACUGGGCGUAAAGCGCACGUAGGCGGAUUGUUAAGUCAGGGGUGAAAUCCUGGAGCUCAACUCCAGAACUGCCUUUGAUACUGGCGAUCUCGAGUCCGGGAGAGGUGAGUGGAACUGCGAGUGUAGAGGUGAAAUUCGUAGAUAUUCGCAAGAACACCAGUGGCGAAGGCGGCUCACUGGCCCGGUACUGACGCUGAGGUGCGAAAGCGUGGAGAGCAAACAGG